ACGGGAGGCAGCAGUGGGGAAUAUUGCACAAUGGGGGAAACCCUGAUGCAGCGACGCCGCGUGAGUGAAGAAGUAUUUCGGUAUGUAAAGCUCUAUCAGCAGGGAAGAAAAUGACGGUACCUGACUAAGAAGCCCCGGCUAACUACGUGCCAGCAGCCGCGGUAAUACGUAGGGGGCAAGCGUUAUCCGGAUUUACUGGGUGUAAAGGGUGCGUAGGUGGCCAAGUAAGUCAGAUGUGAAAACCCGGGGCUUAACUCCGGGAUUGCAUUUGAAACUGCAUGGCUAGAGUGCAGGAGAGGUAAGUGGAAUUCCUAGUGUAGCGGUGAAAUGCGUAGAUAUUAGGAGGAACACCAGUGGCGAAGGCGGCUUACUGGACUGUAACUGACACUGAGGCACGAAAGCGUGGGGAGCAAACAGGAUUAGAUACCCUGGUA
rnacentral:rRNA from 1 species